rnacentral:lncRNA from 9 species
AUGGAGGGGGCUGCAAGUGUCCAGAGUCUUAGCCACGACGGACAGGCUGUCUGCCACAGGCAAGAUGGAAGAAUCUCCCCCAAGGAAGGCCAGUCUCUGAAAGAGAAGGGGGGCGAUCACCAUCCCUCGGAAAGACGCAGAGAAAAAGGAAGCCUGGAGACCCGAGAGGGCUCUCGGAGCAAAGCAGUGCACACCAGGCACAAGCGGAGCAGAAGCCCCACUGGCUGUCCUGACAGGCGGGGCCUCCACAGCAAAGACAAGAAGAGGCAGGGACCACCCUCCCCAGCCCAGGCGAGAGCUAAGGACCGGUUUUUCUCCUCCAGAGCAGGACUUGACCGCAGAGGAGGUAGGUUUCUGGGCAGGCGCUUGGCACAGGUGGGGAUGUGGGUGCAGGGCCUGAGGGUCGCAACAAGCCCCCAGCAGGCAGGUAGGUGGGGAGACACGCUGCCCCUGGUGCGGGGCCCCUGGUGAGGGGCCCCUAAAGCCCUAACAGGCUGGGAGGAAGGCAUCCAGGUGUGGGCCCCGGUUCCCAGCAGAUCCUGGAAGGGGCCCCAGGGUCCGGUGCGGUGGAGAGUGGGUCGUGGGGGAAGGAGGGUUGGGAGUCUCCAUGGGGAAGAGGUUGUUGGUCGACCCUGACAAGGAAUCCCAGGGCGGGCGAGGGUGCAGCGCAUAUCACCUGAACUCCUCCCGCUCUGCCUCCCGCGCAGGUUCUGCCCACACGCCUCGGCGCCCGGCCCGGCCCGCCUCUCCCAAGCCUCGUCGCGGAUCCUCGUGUCCCGAAGCCCGCGUGCCCGCGGCGGCGCUCGCGUCCGAGCUCUGCAACCAGAUGGGCGCCCUGCAGGUGGCCCUGGGCGAGCUGCGGGCCCCGGGGGGCGCCUACCUGCCGGUGCCCUCCCGCUGCACCGAGCC